AGAGUUUGAUUAUGGCUCAGNANNNNNNNGGCGGCGUGCUUCAGGCAUGCAAGUCGAACGGACACUUCGGUGUCAGUGGCGGACGGGUGAGUAACACGUAAGUAACCUGCCCAGAAGUGGGGAAUAACUAGCCGAAAGGCUGGCUAAUACCGCAUAUGAUGUUCCUUCCCCGGAGGGAUCAUCAAAGGCUUCGGCCGCUUCUGGAGGGGCUUGCGGCCGAUUAGCUAGUUGGUGGGGUAACGGCCUACCAAGGCGACGAUCGGUAGCUGGUCUGAGAGGACGGUCAGCCACACGGGGACUGAGAUACGGCCCCGACUCCUACGGGAGGCAGCAGCUAGGAAUCUUGGGAAUGGGCGAAAGCCUGACCCAGCAACGCCGCGUGGGCGAUGAAGGCCUUCGGGUUGUAAAGCCCUUUUGCAGGGGAAGAUAAUGACGGUACCCUGCGAAUAAGCCACGGCUAACUACGUGCCAGCAGCCGCGGUAAUACGUAGGUGGCAAGCGUUGUCCGGAUUUACUGGGCGUAAAGGGCGUGCAGGCGGUCUGUUAAGUCUAGGGUGAAAGCUCCCGGCUCAACUGGGAGAGGUCCUUGGAUACUGGCGGACUUGAGGGAGGUAGAGGAGAGUGGAAUUCCCGGUGUAGUGGUGAUAUGCGUAGAUAUCGGGAGGAACACCAGUGGCGAAGGCGGCUCUCUGGGCCUUACCUGACGCUGNNACGCGAAAGCGUGGGGAGCGAACCGGAU
rnacentral:rRNA from 1 species